rnacentral:rRNA from 1 species
UACGAAGGGGGCUAGCGUUGUUCGGAAUUACUGGGCGUAAAGGGCGCGCAGGCGGCUCUUCAAGUCAGAUGUGAAAGCCCCGGGCUCAACCUGGGAACUGCAUUUGAGACUGGAGAGCUUGAGUUCGGGAGAGGAGAGCGGAAUUCCCAGUGUAGAGGUGAAAUUCGUAGAUAUUGGGAAGAACACCGGUGGCGAAGGCGGGUCUCUGGGCCGAUACUGACGCUGAGGAGCGAAAGCGUGGGGAGCGAACAGG